GGGUGUUGUCAGGAAGGAUGUGACCGUAUGACAGACAAUCAAGAAUUGAAUUUUCUUUCGCUGUGUGAAAAGAAAGCAAGCGGAACAGAAUCCGACAAUUUUCAUGUAUUUGGAUCGACUGCAUUGAUCUUUUCUUGGGCGGGAGCUGGAGGAGGCAAUGUUGCAGAGAAUGGAAUAGCCUACUCCAUGCCGUAACUGCGUGAACCAGCAUCUUGACAGUGCUUCUUGUGGUCACUUAGAAAUACGUAUGUAAGAUAAGGAACAAAUAUGUUUCUGUAUUUGUUAACGAAAGCUAUCCUAAAAGAUUUAUUCUCUGAAACCCCGUUAAAGACUGCUUGGACAGCAAAAAGGAAAAUCUGAAGCAAGUUCUGACAAAAAUCGAGGACUGUGGCACAGAAGAAAAGAAGUAACAGGCUGAUCGAUAUGUAAUAGGGAUUUUAUUAAAAUUAAUAACGUAUAUAUUGAAAAAGAGUUGCUCUUUUAACGUAUUCACGUAGAAAAACUGAAAUUAUUAAAAUAUGUAUGCAUACGAAUCGAAUAUAUUUUAUUUAAAGUUUGGAGAAAGCUUUUGUUUCAGGCUUAUUCAGAACAAUGAUACAAAAGGAUUAUUUUUGGAGUGAGAUAAUCGAUUAAUGUGGAGCAACCCUGGACUGCAACAGAGAAAUUCCUCGCAUUUUACUUUUUAUUCUUUAAUCCAUACUGAGGGUCUCUAAUCUCAAUAACUGGAUCUUCUUGGAUAACAAUUGUGCACGCUAAAUAAUUAGCGCGGAUUGCUGUCCAUGGUGCUGAACUCCUAUCAUUAAAUUAGUCGUUGAAGGUGUUUAGUUUCGACUGUCAAUGAAUACCUACCAAUAUUGUAUUUUGUAUUUUUGAGAUUUCUUAGCAAUCAAGUUUCUUGCGGUGAGACGGUAACCUUAUUAUAGGAUAAACGGCAGAGAGAGUUUAUUACAUAGUAUGCGUGCUGAAUGCAAAUAAAGAAAGAAAGACGGAACAUAGUCCGUUUAAAAUUAAAACAUGUAUUAAAACAUACGAGACCACAAAGCGGAUUAAAAUAGUGGUAGUAGGAAAUCUAACGGCAGAGAAAGUAGUCAAGAGAAAGGAAACGAAGGCAAAAAUGUGAUGACUAUGAGAAAGUCCUGAUUCGUCGCAUCACCAAUGUAAUUCGAUCCGCUGUUGCGGCAUUAGUACCUGAAGGGGAAGUAGGUACAUCAGGGGUGGGGGGCGACAGUGCAGCUGAACAUUAGGGUCAAACAUCACAGUCUGUCCGCCUGUGAGUUACAGAUCAAAAGAGAAAGGAAGACGUUUUAUACAAAUAAAACCUCAGUGCCUUUGGAAGGAAAUGCUCUUUUAUAAUACACGUGUUUAAACACAUAUGGCUAUAUAAAUAAGUCCCAAAUAGCUAUUUUAUGGUUUUACUUAAGACCAACUUUGUAGUUAUUACCUAAUUAACUAGCUAAGUGCAAGCUGUUAUACAUAGGAGCAAAGUAAUGAGUCAUAUUGUUAGAAAAAAAAUGGAAAUGAACAAGUAAAGAAAGAAGGCAGAUCUAAAGAUAAAGGGGAGAAAGACAUAACUGCAAAUUAGCAAAACGAUUACCAAACCAGAUAGUACAUUAUCGGAAUCCUUAUAUUACUUUUAACUGGAGUCUAUGAGCGUUUGGUCGAAACAGGAAGGCGAGGAAGAGACGGAGUCAACCAAUUAACCUUGUCGAGCUGCAAGCAGAGAAUUUUUACAAAACUGGAAUCUGUAGGUUUGCCACCCCUGCUCUUUUUCUGUCUUUUUCUCUGUCUCCGUCGUUCCAGUAUUUAGUGGAUAAUCAGUACUAUUUUCCCCUCUCUUUCCAACCCUCAGCCCUUUCUUACUCUUCACUUGCUUCAGCUCAGAGCCCUCCUCCUCAACCCUCCUUAAACCCACUCCACACCCCCCGUCCAACCCCUCUGCCAA